rnacentral:lncRNA from 1 species
AGAAAGAGUCCUGAUUGGGCUCCAAGUCAGGGCGGGCGCCCAGGGAAGGAGGGCGGGCGCCCUGCCUCUGGCCCCGUUCGGCCUCCGCUUCCUUCCCGUGGCUUCUGGAGUCUUCUAGAUGUAAGAUAAUUGCGCGGCACGUUAAUAUCUCUAUGUAAUCCCAACGUGUGGGCCUUUCUUCUGUAUUUCCUGAUAACCCCCUGCAGAAAUAGACAAACACCAAAACUCGUGGAAUUCUGUCAGAUAAAACCCUAAGUCUAGAUGUUGAUUUCAUUUGGAUCCUUUUCUUUGUUUAUUUGAUAAUUAAAUUUGAUACUUAAGGACCGUCAACAAACUCCCCCAAGCUUACCUCUUGCUCGUCCCUGAGCAAGGAUAGACUUAGCAAUGGAUCAGAAGUUGUUGCAAUAUCUUAAAAAUUUGACGGUACACAUGCUUUUAAAUAAGAUCUCAUCUCUGAGUUAGAGUAAACUGUCAAGAACUAAAACUUACUUACUUUACCUUUCACCAUGGGACUUGUAACCGUCACUUCUGUCUUGAGUAGUUAAAAGAUAGAACAGUCUAGCCAAGUGCCAUGUCUCUUAUUCUUGAUCAGCUAUAGCUCUGGAGUUUUUGCAGAUUUUCAAAUAAAACUCAGAGAUUCCUUGUAUGACUCUCUAAAUCUCUCUUUUGUGGUAUUUCUGGAUCCUUACCAAGGCAGUGAUGGUAUAUGCCUUCUCUCAAGAUAUGUGGUAUUUGUGGCAUAAGACAUAGUGACAUUGCCUUCUUUCUCACCCUACUCUAAUAAGGCUUUAAUAUCUGGAGCUCAUAGGUGGGAGAUAAAGUAUACAUACUUACAAGACAUUUAUUGUACAGUCAAACCAUGGAUCCAGAAAAACAAGUCAAUAAGUCAAAUCAAGAUGUGCAUGUGUGGCGAAUGAAUGGUGUAUGGUGAUGAUGGUAAUAACAAUGGUGAAAGUCUAAUUCUACUUUUGCUCUUUUGAGGGGAUACAUACCUUCCUUGCUUUUUGAAACUUUAUGAGGAGAAUGAGAUGCUCUAUCUUUUCUUUUUCUUUUCUCUCAGAUGGGUAUCCUGUACCCCUAAUUCUACUGUCGGACACUUGUCCAUUUUUACCUCUCGUCUCACUCUUUUUCUUUUCUUUCAAGGUUCCGGGCACUUGACCCUUUUUAUUUCCUCAUAUAUUUUUUCUCUCCCUUUUUUUAGAGCACUCAUCUCAUGAGAUAAUAUAGCAAGUGGUAGUAACAAGAUAACUUGAGCAUUUAUUUCACAAGAAAAAACAGAAAUAUUUUUGGUUAUUCUCUCCCGGAUUAGGAGUAGAAUAUUUUUGGGUGGUUCUGGAGAUGGAAAUGAGUGGAUAUAUGUGGAUGGUACUUCCGGAGUAGAAGUAGCAUAUAUGAGUGAAUGUGCAAGUGAAAUCUUGACUUAACCACAUGACAAGCUCCUAAGGGUCUACACAGCUUGACCACACUCAAUGCUCAUAAGCAGUAAAUAGUAAAUGUGUGUCUCAAAGUCUAGCAAGCAUGUAUAUAUGGCUGUGGUAGGAAUUUAAACUUUCAUCAUACAGGAACUCAUCAUGCAAUAUUUUAAAGAUUUUUCAAAGAUAAAAUUCUCCAGAAUUCUAGCAUCUCUAGGAACAGAUAAACAGCAGCUCAACCUUCCCAUAUCAUAUCCGUUAACAACUUAGAUUUCACAUCAAGUUUUUAUCCCACAAGUUUAGAUCUAGAGCAAGCUUUAAAUUAUAACAGUUAUGUCUAAACUUGAGAGAGAACUUCAAAUUUGCAAAUUAGGCAGAGCAACUAUUCAUCAUAUCCAUGCUAGAGUUUUAUUAUUAAGAUUC